AUGUAAUGUAAUACUUAUAGUGUAAAUACAUUGGAUCCCAUUAUAACUCUGCAAUUAAGCAUGAUUGGGAUAGAGUAGUACUAGGAUGGGUGAUCUCUUAGUAAGUCCUCGUGUUUUACAUU
rnacentral:rRNA from 1 species